rnacentral:lncRNA from 1 species
ACCAGCUGGCGUCACUCGCAGGCUCCAGACGCCGCCAUUUCGCCAAGCCGAGGUCUCUUGGUUGCGGCACUGCUUCUGGCUCGGUGCCUGUAUUUUCUCGGUGCCUACAGCGCCCAGGUCGCCGAUCUGAGGGCUUCGGAGUACCGGCCGGGCGCGGUGGCUCACGCCUGUAAUCCCAGCACUUUGGGAGGCCGAGGCGGGCGGAUCAGGAGGUCAGGAGAUCGAGACCAUCCUGGCUAACACGGGCUUUGACUCCUGAGUCUAAAAAGGUCACUAACUCCCGCUAAAUUGAGAGCAAUUGAAGCCUCAUCUUCAGAUCUAGGAGAAGAUGAAAAUCAGAAUAAGCUGCAGUCAUGAGACAUGGCGCCAGAAAUUAAGACUAUUCAAACCCUCUAGUCCCAGGGACUAUUGAAGAAGAAGUGGAUAAGGUCUAGAUCUGUCACCCAGGCUGGAGUACAGUGGCAUAGUCCUAGCUCACUGCAACCUCCACCUCCCAGGCUCAAGUGAUCCUACCACCUCAGCCUCCUAAGAAGCUGGGACUAUAGAUGUGCACCAACACGCAUGGCUAAUUUUUGUAUUUUUUGUAGACACCGUGUUUCGCCAUGUUGCCCAGGCUGGUCUCAAACUCCUGAGCUCAAGCAGUCUGCCUGCCUAGACCGCCCAAAGUGCUGAGUUUACAGGUGCGAGCCACCACAGCCAGCCUAUAAAGUAAACGUGAAUAUCUAAGGAACACUGAUGCAAGACCAGCAUGUGGGACCCCAUGUAAGAUUAACAAUGUUUUCAUGGAUCAUUAACCCAUUCUUAUUAAAAAAAUUAUGAAAGAUUAUGAAAAGGUUUACAAAAGUUGUAUCUUAUGGUCAAGAUGAUUAAAAUUUAUUAGAUUUGUCUAUAAUAUCUGAGAAA